GAUGAACGCUGGCGGCGUGCCUAAUACAUGCAAGUCGAGCGAACAGACGAGGAGCUUGCUCCUCUGACGUUAGCGGCGGACGGGUGAGUAACACGUGGAUAACCUACCUAUAAGACUGGGAUAACUUCGGGAAACCGGAGCUAAUACCGGAUAAUCUAUUGCACCGCAUGGUUCAUUAGUGAAAGACGGUUUUGCUGUCACUUAUAGAUGGAUCCGCGCCGCAUUAGCUAGUUGGUAAGGUAACGGCCUACCAAGGCGACGAGGCGUGGCCGACGUCAGAGGGUGAUCGGCGACAUGAGAACGGAGACACGGUCCAGACGACUACGGGAGGCAGCAGUAGGGAAUGUGCCGCAAUGGGCGAAAGCCUGACGGAGCAACGCCGCGUGAGUGAUGAAGGUCUUCGGAUCGUAAAACUCUGUUAUUAGGGAAGAACAAAUGUGUAAGUAACUAUGCACGUCGUGACGGUACCUAAUCAGAAAGCCACGGCUAACUACGUG
rnacentral:rRNA from 1 species